AAUUAAGGUGGCUCGUGGGUACAAAAAUUUCAGCAAAAAAUUAAACCUUUAUUUUGUCAUUACAAAUUUCAUUUAUAAUACAGUUAUUACUUUAUAAUAUGGUACAAAAAUCAACCCAAAAAAUCGAUUCGGUUUGGCCUCAGAUAACUUUUAAAAUGUUUAUAUUAUUGUAAAAGCUCCAAAUUAUCUCCCUUUGGUACAAACAUGCCAAUUUUUGGCAUUAAAUUUGAAAUAUCUUUUUUAACUCAUCGGUGACCUGUAUUUUUU
rnacentral:lncRNA from 1 species